UGGGGAAUAUUGCGCAAUGGGGGGAACCCUGACGCAGCCAUGCCGCGUGAAUGAAGAAGGCCUUCGGGUUGUAAAGUUCUUUCGGUAUUGAGGAAGGUUGAUGUGUUAAUAGCACAUCAAAUUGACGUUAAAUACAGAAGAAGCACCGGCUAACUUCGUGCCAGCAGCCGCGGUAAUACGGAGGGUGCGAGCGUUAAUCGGAAUAACUGGGCGUAAAGGGCACGCAGGCGGUUAUUUAAGUGAGGUGUGAAAGCCCUGGGCUUAACCUAGGAAUUGCAUUUCAGACUGGGUAACUAGAGUACUUUAGGGAGGGGUAGAAUUCCACGUGUAGCGGUGAAAUGCGUAGAGAUGUGGAGGAAUACCGAAGGCGAAGGCAGCCCCUUGGGAAUGUACUGACGCUCAUGUGCGAAAGCGUGGGGAGCAAACAGGAUUAGAUACCCUGGUAGUCCACGCUGUAAACGCUGUCGAUUUGGGGAUUGGGCUUAGAGCUUGGUGCCCGUAGCUAACGUGAUAAAUCGACCGCCUGGGGAGUACGGCCGCAAGGUUA
rnacentral:rRNA from 1 species